rnacentral:rRNA from 1 species
GACGAACGCUGGCGGCGUGCUUAACACAUGCAAGUCGAACGGAAAGGCCCUGCUUUUGUGGGGUGCUCGAGUGGCGAACGGGUGAGUAACACGUGAGUAACCUGCCCUUGACUUUGGGAUAACUUCAGGAAACUGGGGCUAAUACCGGAUAGGAGCUCCUGCUGCAUGGUGGGGGUUGGAAAGUUUCGGCGGUUGGGGAUGGACUCGCGGCUUAUCAGCUUGUUGGUGGGGUAGUGGCUUACCAAGGCUUUGACGGGUAGCCGGCCUGAGAGGGUGACCGGCCACAUUGGGACUGAGAUACGGCCCAGACUCCUACGGGAGGCAGCAGUGGGGAAUAUGGCACAAUGGGCGGAAGCCUGAUGCAGCAACGCCGCAUGCGGGAUGACGGCCUUCGGGUGGUAAACCGCUUUCGCCUGUGACGAAGCGUGAGUGACGGUAAUGGGUAAAGAAGCACCGGCGAACUACGU